AUCACUUCUCGGCCUUUUGGCUAAGAUCAAGUGUAGAAUAAUUAUAUGUUUAUGACAGAUUCUUUUAGUUUCAUUUUUAUUUCAGUCCUGCUCCAAUUUUC
ensembl:snRNA U2 U2 spliceosomal RNA